UACGUAGGGCGCAAGCGUUGUCCGGAAUUAUUGGGCGUAAAGAGCUCGUAGGCGGUUUGUCGCGUCUGCUGUGAAAACUCAGGGCUUAACCCUGAGCUUGCAGUGGGUACGGGCAGACUAGAGUGCGGUAGGGGAGACUGGAAUUCCUGGUGUAGCGGUGAAAUGCGCAGAUAUCAGGAAGAACACCCGUGGCGAAGGCGGCUCUCUGGGACGGUACUGGACGCUGAGACGCGAAAGCCGUGGGGAGCGAACAGG
rnacentral:rRNA from 1 species